ensembl:lncRNA
UACAACUGACUAGGUAUCCCCCUUUCUGUUGUACAACUGACUAGGUAUCCCCCUUUCCUUUCUGUUGUACAACUGACUAGGUAUCCCCCUUUCUGUUGUACAACUGACUAGGUAUCCCCCUUUCUGUUGUAUAACUGACUAGGUGUCCCCCUUUCCUUUCUGUUGUACAACUGACUAGGUACCCACCUUUUGCUUUCUGUUGUACAACUGACUAGGUAUCCCCCUUUCCUUUCUGUUGUACAACUGACUAGGUAUCCCCCUUUCCGUUCUGUUGUACAACUGAAUAUAUUUUUGAAUAUACUGAAUAUAUUUUUAUUUUUAAUCCCAGCCUCCGUCCCCUCGGGAGGCCUUUUGCAUUUUGGUAGGCCGUCAUUGUAAAGAAGAACUUGUUCUUAUCAAUCAAAUCAAUCAAUUCAUCAAAGGUAUUUAUAAAGCACUUCUCACAUCAGUUGAUGUCAUAAAGUGCUGUACAGAAACCCAGCCUAAAACCCCAAACAGCAAGCAAUGCAGGUGUAGAAGCACGGUGGCUAGGAAAAACUCCCUAGAAAGGCCUAAACCUAGGAAGAAACCUAGAGAGGAACCAGGCUAUGAGGGGUGGCCAGUCCUCUUCUGGCUUUGCCAGGUGGAGAUUAAAACAGUACAUGGCCAAGAUGUUCAAAUGUUCAUAAAUGACCAGCAGGGUCAAAUAAUAAUAAUCACAGUGCUUGUAGAGGGUGCAACAGGUCAGCACCACAGGAGUAAAUAUCAGUUGGAUUUUCAUAGCCAAUCAGCUAGUUAAAUAAAGGUUAAAUCACAUCAAAUUCCUCCACUUGACGUAGCUGUACAAUGUAGCUUCUGUGAUGACCUUUGAAUUCCCUGGAUAAAUGUAUUGUCUGUGCCAGUGUCGAUGCAAAUAGAGAGGGAGAGAUGGCACAACACAGCAGUCCAGAUCAUGUUUAGCCUACUGGACUGUUCAUGAGCUUGAAGAGUUUUAGUUGGUAACACUGGAAGCUAAUUAUGUAAUUUGGUAAAAACAGCCAUCAAGGCUUGUUUUUCAAUUACAUUAUGCCAAAUCUGAUCUGCAUUCUGGCUGUUGAGAGCAAGGACUUACAACCUCUUAGUCAAUAUUUUUUUUUUAAAGGGAAGGUUUUCUCAUCAGAAUAUCCUGAAAUACAUAAGUGGAAAACCAUUUGUCUCUGAUGGUCUGUGGAGAUUUCUCCUUCUGUUUGGAACACCUUCUGUUUGGAACUCCUUCUGUUUGGAACACCUUCUGUUUGGAACUCCUGUUUAGAACUCCUUCUGUUUGGAA